AGGAUAAACGCUGGCGGCGUGCCUAACACAUGCAAGUCGAACGCGCUUUCGGGCUUCGGUGCGAGAGCGAGUGGCGGACGGGUGAGUAACACAUGGGUACCUACCUUGGAGUGAGGGAUACCGGCGAGAAAUCGCCGACAAUACCGCAUAGGCUUCUUCACAAGGGAAGCAAAGUGACGCGAGCCAUGCUUUGAGAUGGGCCUGUGGCCGAUUAGCUAGUUGGGGGGUAACGGCUUCCCAAGGCGACGAUCGGUAGCUGGUCUGAGAGGACGAUCAGCCACACUGGGAUUGAGAACGGCCCAGACUCCUACGGGGGGCAGCAGUGAGGAAUUUUCCGCAAUGGAGGCAACUCUGACGGAGCAAACGCCGCGUGCAGGAGGAAGGUUUUCGGAUCGUAAAACUGCUUUUCUCGGGGACGAGCGAAAGGACGGUAACCCGAGGAACGAAGCCCCGGCUAACACGUGCCAGCAAGCCGC
rnacentral:rRNA from 1 species